rnacentral:rRNA from 1 species
CUAGCGGCAGGCCUAAUACAUGCAAGUCGGACGGGAUCCAUCGGAGAGCUUGCUCGAAGAUGGUGAGAGUGGCGCACGGGUGCGUAACGCGUGAGCAACCUACCUCUAUCAGGGGGAUAGCCUCUCGAAAGAGAGAUUAACACCGCAUAAUAUAAUGUACCGGCAUCGGGAUAUUAUUAAAUAUUUAUAGGAUAGAGAUGGGCUCGCGUGACAUUAGCUAGUUGGUAGGGUAACGGCUUACCAAGGCGACGAUGUCUAGGGGCUCUGAGAGGAGAAUCCCCCACACUGGUACUGAGACACGGACCAGACUCCUACGGGAGGCAGCAGUAAGGAAUAUUGGUCAAUGGGCGGAAGCCUGAACCAGCCAUGCCGCGUGCAGGAUGACUGCCCUAUGGGUUGUAAACUGCUUUUGUCCAGGAAUAAACCUAGAUACGUGUAUCUAGCUGAAUGUACUGGAAGAAUAAGGAUCGGCUAACUCCGUGCCAGCAGCCGCGGUAAUACGGAGGAUCCGAGCGUUAUCCGGAUUUAUUGGGUUUAAAGGGUGCGUAGGCGGCCUAUUAAGUCAGGGGUGAAAUACGGUGGCUCAACCAUCGCAGUGCCUUUGAUACUGAUGGGCUUGAAUCCAUUUGAAGUGGGCGGAAUAAGACAAGUAGCGGUGAAAUGCAUAGAUAUGUCUUAGAACUCCGAUUGCGAAGGCAGCUCACUAAGCUGGUAUUGACGCUGAUGCACGAAAGCGUGGGGAUCGAACAGGAUUAGAUACCCUGGUAGUCCACGCCCUAAACGAUGAUAACUCGAUGUUGGCGAUAGACAGCCAGCGUCUUAGCGAAAGCGUUAAGUUAUCCACCUGGGGAGUACGCCCGCAAGGGUGAAACUCAAAGGAAUUGACGGGGGCCCGCACAAGCGGAGGAGCAUGUGGUUUAAUUCGAUGAUACGCGAGGAACCUUACCCGGGCUUGAAAGUUA